rnacentral:misc_RNA from 1 species
CACCAAUCAAGCCACGCUUGGUAUUGGGCGCGCGGCCUUUUUGUUAAAGGCCCGCCCGAAAUGCAUCGGCGAGGAAACCGACCCCCGGCGUGUUAGAUUUCUGAACGUCAGGAGCACCGGUGCCCUCAGCCGUACAAUCUUUUUUCUAAGG